GUGAACAAUUAAGGGCGCGCGGUGGAUGCCUAGGCUCUCGGAGGCGAAGAAGGACGCGAUAAGCCGCGAUAGUCCACGGCGAGGUGCAAGUAACCCUUGACCCGUGGGUUUCCGAAUGGGGCAACCCGGCCGUCUAGAUGACGGUCAUGCAUUAUCAUGCAGGCGAACGCGGGGAACUGAAACAUCUCAUUACCCGCAGGAGAAGAAAACAACAUGUGAUUCCCCCAGUAGUGGCGAGCGAACGGGGAAGAGCCCAAACCGCUGCCGUUUCGGCGACAGCGGGGUCAUGGGACCACGCCAUUCGAAACAAGAUGAAGUGCAAUUACCUGGAAAGGUAAGCCGCGGAGGGUGAUAGCCCCGUGCACGUCAAUUCUUGUGGAGAUAGUGGAAUCCCGAGUAGGGCGGGACACGAGAAAUCCUGCCUGAAUUCGCCAGGACCUCCUGGCAAGGCUAAAUACUCCCGAGAGACCGAUAGUGAACCAGUACCGCGAGGGAAAGGUGAAAAGUACCCCGAGCAGGGGGGUGAAAUAGACCCUGAACCCGCGCGCCUACAAGCGGUCGGAGCCAUGAAAUAUGGUGACGGCGUGCCUUUUGCAUAAUGAGCCUACGAGUUAGUCGUCACCAGCGAGGUUAAGGGCUUCAGGCCCGUAAGCCGAAGUGAAAGCGAGCCUUAACAGGGCGUCAAGUUGGUGGCGCUAGACGCGAAACCUUGUGAUCUACCCACGAGCAGGUUGAAGUCGCGGUAACACGUGAUGGAGGACCGAACCGGUAAACGUUGAAAAGUUUUCGGAUGACUCGCGGGUAGGGGUGAAAGGCCAAUCAAACUGGGAAAUAGCUCGUACUCUCCGAAAUGCAUUUCGGUGCAGCCUGUGAUGUUCUGUUCCAGAGGUAGAGCUACUGGUUGGACGCGAGGGCUUCACCGCCUAUCAAAUCCGGAUAAACUCCGAAUGCUGGAACACGAAAUCAUGGAGUGAGCCCGCGGGUGCUAAGGUCCGCGGACGAGAGGGAAAGAACCCGGACCACCGGCUAAGGUCCCGGAUGGACAGUUAAGUUGAUCAAACGAGGUGGGAUCGCUGAGACAGCUAGGAUGUUGGCUUGGAAGCAGCCAUUCAUUUAAAGAGUGCGUAACAGCUCACUAGUCGAGCGAUCCCGCGUGGAUAAUACACGGGCAUCAAACUGUCAACCGAAGCCGUGGGGUCAGCGAAAAGCUGACCGGUAGGAGAGCAUUCCUGCCAGCGUCGAAGGUCACCCGCGAGAGUGACUGGAGCGGCAUGAAAAGCAAAUGUAGGCAUAAGUAACGAUAAUGGGGGCGAGAACCCCCCACGCCGCAAGACCAAGGCUUCCCCGGCAAUGUCAAUCAGCCGGGGGUCAGCCGGCCUCUAAGGCUAACCCGAAGGGGGAUGCCGACGAGAAACGGGUUAACAUUCCCGUGCUUCUCGUCACCGUGACGCGGUGACGGGGUGAUGAAUGGACCGCGCGCUGACGGAAUAGCGCGUUGAAGGCCGUACCCUUCGAGGGUGGUAGUCAAGCACGCCACCCGAGGCGAUAGCCGAUAGUACCACGAGACUCCGGUCGAGUGGAUAGCGUCCAGGCAAUUUACCCCCGAGAAAACCCGCUAAACUUCAAGUGACGAGGAACCGUACUGUAAACGGACACACGUGGUCGGGUAGAACAUACCAAGGCGCUCGAGUGAUUCAUGGUCAAGGAACUAGGCAAAAUAGUCCUGUAACUUCGGGAAAAAGGACGCUCUAGUGAUAGAGCCGCAGAGUAAUGGCCCAGGCGACUGUUUACCAAAAACACAUGGCUAUGCCAAAUCGAAAGAUGACGUAUAUGGCCUGACACCUGCCCGGUGCCGGAAGGUUAAGAGGAGAGCUCAUCGGAAACGAGAAGGUUUGAAUUGAAGCCCCGGUAAACGGCGGCCGUAACUAUAACGGUCCUAAGGUAGCGAAAUUCCUUGUCGGGUAAGUUC
rnacentral:rRNA from 1 species